UGACAGCACUGGACACCCAGUUCAUCCAAAGUCAGUGACACUGAUCUCCAACCAGCUCUGCACAGCAAACUGUAACUCUAGCUGGGGUGGAAACUAGCUAUCAGCUUCGACACCAUAUGCUAAACAGGGAGCACCAGGACAACAGCCCCCUGCUUGAGGGGCCCCACCAGAGGACACCGGACAGGAAGCCACCAACCCAGCCCACAACCCCCAGCCCCAGCACAAGCUGGGUCCAGAACCACUGAGGCCCGGAAGCCAGACACCCACGCACACCCCCGGCGGGAGGCCCCCCACGUACCUGUGGCCUAUAUAUAGUGAUCAAGGUCUGAUUUACAGUCUGUCAGCAUUUCUGCUCCUGUAAGAGUCAGUCAGCGAUACCUGAGACAUGUCUGAUGAGCCCUGCUAUUGCAACGUGGCCUUCAAUUCCUU